AAAUUGAAGAGUUUGAUCAUGGCUCAGAUUGAACGCUGGCGGCAGGCCUAACACAUGCAAGUCGAGCGGUAGCACAGAGAGCUUGCUCUCGGGUGACGAGCGGCGGACGGGUGAGUAAUGUCUGGGAAACUGCCUGAUGGAGGGGGAUAACUACUGGAAACGGUAGCUAAUACCGCAUAACGUCGCAAGACCAAAGUGGGGGACCUUCGGGCCUCAUGCCAUCAGAUGUGCCCAGAUGGGAUUAGCUAGUAGGUGGGGUAAUGGCUCACCUAGGCGACGAUCCCUAGCUGGUCUGAGAGGAUGACCAGCCACACUGGAACUGAGACACGGUCCAGACUCCUACGGGAGGCAGCAGUGGGGAAUAUUGCACAAUGGGCGCAAGCCUGAUGCAGCCAUGCCGCGUGUGUGAAGAAGGCCUUCGGGUUGUAAAGCACUUUCAGCGGGGAGGAAGGCGUUAAGGUUAAUAACCUUGGCGAUUGACGUUACCCGCAGAAGAAGCACCGGCUAACUCCGUGCCAGCAGCCGCGGUAAUACGGAGGGUGCAAGCGUUAAUCGGAAUUACUGGGCGUAAAGCGCACGCAGGCGGUCUGUCAAGUCGGAUGUGAAAUCCCGGGCUCAACCUGGGAACUGCAUUCGAAACUGGCAGGCUAGAGUCUUGUAGAGGGGGGUAGAAUUCCAGGUGUAGCGGUGAAAUGCGUAGAGAUCUGGAGGAAUACCGGUGGCGAAGGCGGCCCCCUGGACAAAGACUGACGCUCAGGUGCGAAAGCGUGGGGAGCAAACAGGAUUAGAUACCCUGGUAGUCCACGCCGUAAACGAUGUCGAUUUGGAGGUUGUGCCCUUGAGGCGUGGCUUCCGGAGCUAACGCGUUAAAUCGACCGCCUGGGGAGUACGGCCGCAAGGUUAAAACUCAAAUGAAUUGACGGGGGCCCGCACAAGCGGUGGAGCAUGUGGUUUAAUUCGAUGCAACGCGAAGAACCUUACCUGGUCUUGACAUCCACAGAACUUUCCAGAGAUGGAUUGGUGCCUUCGGGAACUGUGAGACAGGUGCUGCAUGGCUGUCGUCAGCUCGUGUUGUGAAAUGUUGGGUUAAGUCCCGCAACGAGCGCAACCCUUAUCCUUUGUUGCCAGCGGUUAGGCCGGGAACUCAAAGGAGACUGCCAGUGAUAAACUGGAGGAAGGUGGGGAUGACGUCAAGUCAUCAUGGCCCUUACGACCAGGGCUACACACGUGCUACAAUGGCAUAUACAAAGAGAAGCGACCUCGCGAGAGCAAGCGGACCUCAUAAAGUAUGUCGUAGUCCGGAUUGGAGUCUGCAACUCGACUCCAUGAAGUCGGAAUCGCUAGUAAUCGUAGAUCAGAAUGCUACGGUGAAUACGUUCCCGGGCCUUGUACACACCGCCCGUCACACCAUGGGAGUGGGUUGCAAAAGAAGUAGGUAGCUUAACCUUCGGGAGGGCGCUUACCACUUUGUGAUUCAUGACUGGGGUGAAGUCGUAACAAGGUAACCGUAGGGGAACCUGCGGUUGGAUCACCUCCUUACCUUAAAGAA
rnacentral:rRNA from 1 species